rnacentral:rRNA from 1 species
GACAGAGGGGGCAAGCGUUGCUCGGAAUUACUGGGCGUAAAGCGCGUGUAGGCGGCUUUGCAAGUCGGGUGUGAAAGCCCUCAGCUCAACUGAGGAAGUGCGCCCGAAACUGCAGAGCUUGAGUGCCGGAGAGGGUGGCGGAAUUCCCCAAGUAGAGGUGAAAUUCGUAGAUAUGGGGAGGAACACCGGUGGCGAAGGCGGCCACCUGGACGGUAACUGACGCUGAGACGCGAAAGCGUGGGGAGCAAACAGG